AACGCAACCGGAUCUUAAAAGCC
rnacentral:siRNA from 1 species